rnacentral:rRNA from 1 species
UACGUAGGGUGCAAGCGUUGUCCGGAAUCAUUGGGCGUAAAGGGCGCGUAGGUGGCGGGACAAGCGUGCGGUGAAAGCCUGGGGCUCAACCCCGGGUCGGCCGUGCGAACUGUUUGCUUGAGCACUGUAGAGGCAGGCGGAAUUCCGGGUGUAGCGGUGAAAUGCGUAGAUAUCUGGAGGAAUACCGGUGGCGAAGGCGGCAUCCUGGACCGGCAUUGACGCGUGAGGAGCGAAAGCCAGGGGAGCAAAGCGGG